ACUCGAGUGGCGAACGGGUGAGUAACACGUGGGUGAUCUGCCCUGCACUUCGGGAUAAGCCUGGGAAACUGGGUCUAAUACCGGAUAGGAGCCAUUUUUAGUGUGAUGGUUGGAAAGUUUUUCGGUGUAGGAUGAGCUCGCGGCCUAUCAGCUUGUUGGUGGGGUAAUGGCCUACCAAGGCGGCGACGGGUAGCCGGCCUGAGAGGGUGGACGGCCACGUUGGGACUGAGAUACGGCCCAG
rnacentral:rRNA from 1 species